CGCGGCCUAUCAGCUUGUUGGUGAGGUAACGGCUCACCAAGGCUUCGACGGGUAGCCGGCCUGAGAGGGCGACCGGCCACACUGGGACUGAGAUACGGCCCAGACUCCUACGGGAGGCAGCAGUGGGGAAUAUUGCACAAUGGGCGAAAGCCUGAUGCAGCGACGCCGCGUGCGGGAUGACGGCCUUCGGGUUGUAAACCGCUUUCAGUAGGGACGAAGCGAGAGUGACGGUACCUACAGAAGAAGGACCGGCUAACUACGUGCCAGCAGCCGCGGUGAUACGUAGGGUCCAAGCGUUGUCCGGAAUUAUUGGGCGUAAAGGGCUUGUAGGCGGUCCGUCGCGUCAGAAGUGAAAACUCAGGGCUUAACCCUGAGCCUGCUUUUGAUACGGGCGGACUAGAGGGAUGCAGGGGAGAACGGAAUUCCUGGUGGAGCGGUGGAAUGCGCAGAUAUCAGGAGGAACACCGGUGGCGAAGGCGGUUCUCUGGGCAUUACCUGACGCUGAGAAGCGAAAGCGUGGGGAGCAAACAGGCUUAGAUACCCUGGUAGUCCACGCCGUAAACGGUGGGCACUAGGUGUGGGGGACAUUCCACGUUCUCCGUGCCGAAGCUAACGCAUUAAGUGCCCCGCCUGGGGAGUACGG
rnacentral:rRNA from 1 species